UACGAACUGUGCAAACGUUAUUCGGAAUCACUGGGCUUACAGGGUGCGUAGGCGGCUUGUUAAGUAGGGUGUGAAAGCCCCCGGCUCAACCGGGGAAUUGCGCCCUAAACUGGCGAGCUGGAGUGAGAUAGGGGUGUGUGGAACUUCCGGUGGAGCGGUGAAAUGUGUUGAUAUCGGGAGGAACGCCGGUGGCGAAAGCGACACACUGGAUCUUGUCUGACGCUGAGGCACGAAAGCCAGGGGAGCGAACGGG
rnacentral:rRNA from 1 species